AAUCGUACGAGAUUUAUUUUUAAUCCAUGUUACUAAAGGCAUGAAAAGGAAGGAGAACUCUGUUAAUUUGUUUGUGAACAGAGAAAAGAAUGGCAACUAAUACUGUGUUUCAAGCGGGAAGACAUAAUGUCACCUCUCAGCUCUUACACUGACCUGGGCCUCUGGACUGUGCUUUGACCCUGUGAAACAAUCCCUUUUUCCAUGUCCCCAUUCUAUGUGAAGGAAACUAGGACAAAGCAGCCAAAAAGAAGCUGUUUUGUGCCUUAGCAAGCUGAACACCCUGGGGAACAUACUCUGGACUGUUUACUUCCAUGCUCUGCAGUGUAGCCAGGGGAGUUUUGCCUGCUUAAAUUAUCAUUUAGAGUAGAUGUGUAGAAGAUCUACUGUGGAAAGUACCUAUGUUUCUUACAUGACUUCUGUUUCAUCAGCAGCAUGGUUACCAAAUGCUAAUUAGUUUUCUUUCUCUCCUCCAACAUAAACUUCAGAAUUACCACCUUAAUGAAAAAUUCUAACUGUCUGGGAGAAUGCAUAGACUGGACAAAUCUAUUCCUCAAUGAAAGGAUUCUGUUCAAGGGUCUUCUCUAAGGCCACUUUACAUCUGUGAAACAACUUUGUGACAAAGGAUUCUCCAUCAAGACAUAGUCUUAAGCUCUACAUCACCACGUAUGGAAAACAAAGAGAUCGCCAGUACUGAAGCUGUAUAAGACAAUAACAGAGGUAAAUAGUCUUAGGGGAGGGUCAUCAUAUUUUAGGCAUAAAAAGGCACUUUCAUAGGCACCUUCUGAACUGAAAUUACUACGCUUAGAUCAAUUAAUACAAAUUCGAUUAGAGUUUUUUAGUGAGUUAGAGUCAGGACUAGUCCUGGAACACCUGAGAUAUUCGUGUCCACUGAAACCAUGAUGGAAGGAGUAAUGAAGCUUGUGUUCCAUGGUUCUAACAAAUGAAAUAUGGGAUUUCGCUUACUUCUGAGCCUGAUGGCUGAGAAACCUAGCAGUGGACCUACACUUCACAGUCUGUGUUAUAUAAGGACAAUACACAAUCUACAAGGAAGUGGUAUUUUAAUGGUUG
rnacentral:lncRNA from 1 species